GUCAGGUUAUAGUGGGAUGAUGGUGGUGGUAGAGGUCAGGUGAUAGUGGGAUGAUGGUGGUGGUAGAGGUCAGGUGAUAGUGGGUUGAUGGUGGUGGUAGAGGUCAGGUGAUAGUGGGAUGAUGGCGGUGGUAGAGGUCAGGUGAUAGUGGGAUGAUGGUGGUGGUAGAGGUCAGGUGAUAGUGGGAUGAUGGUGGUAGAGGUCAGGUGAUAAUGGGUUGAUGGUGGUUGUAGAGGUCAAAUAAUGGUGGGAUGAUGGUGGUGGUAGAGGUCAGAUAAUGGUGGGAUGAUGGUGGUGGUAGAGGUCAGGUGAUAAUGGGUUGAUGGUGGUGGUAGAGGUCAGGUGAUAGUGGGAUGAUGGCGGUGGUAGAGGUCAGGUGAUAGUGGGAUGAUGGUGGUGGUAGAGGUCAGGUGAUAGUGGGAUGAUGGUGGUAGAGGUCAGGUGAUAAUGGGUUGAUGGUGGUUGUAGAGGUCAGGUGAUAGUGGGUUGGUGGUGGUGGUAGAGGUCAGGUUAUAGUGGGAUGAUGGUGGUGGUAGAGGUCAGGUGAUAGUGGGAUGAUGGUUGUGGUAGAGAUCAGGUGAUGGUGGUGAGAGCCUCAGAGAAUCACUUCAAUAUUAAACAUUGAUUUAAUAAAAGUGGCAUCUUGACAUUACCUGAAUAUCUCAUAUUCAUAA
ensembl:lncRNA